rnacentral:rRNA from 1 species
AGAGUUUGAUCCUGGCUCAGAACGUACGCUGGCGGCACGCCUAACACAUGCAAGUCGAACGAAGUAGCAAUACUUAGUGGCAGACGGGUGAGUAACAUGUGGGUAUCUACCCUUUGGCCUGGAAUAACACGAGGAAACUUGUGCUAAUACCGGAUAAGUCUUUACUGAGAAAGCUUUAUGCACCAUUGGAUGAGCCCGCACUUGAUUAGUUUGUUGGUAGGGUAAUGGCCUACCAAGACUAUGAUCAAUAGCUGAUUUGAGAGGAUGAUCAGCCACAUUGGGACUGAGACACGGCCCAAACUCCUACGGGAGGCAGCAGUGGGGAAUCUUGCACAAUGGAGGAAACUCUGAUGCAGCGAUGCCGCGUGAGUGAAGAAGGCCUUUGGGUUGUAAAGCUCUUUCGUCGGGGAAGAAAAUGACUGUACCCGAAUAAGAAGGUCCGGCUAACUUCGUGCCAGCAGCCGCGGUAAUACGAAGGGACCUAGCGUAGUUCGGAAUUACUGGGCUUAAAGAGUUCGUAGGUGGUUGAAAAAGUUGGUGGUGAAAUCCCAGAGCUUAACUCUGGAACUGCCAUCAAAACUUUUCAGCUAGAGUAUGAUAGAGGAAAGCAGAAUUUCUAGUGUAGAGGUGAAAUUCGUAGAUAUUAGAAAGAAUACCAAUUGCGAAGGCAGCUUUCUGGAUCAUUACUGACACUGAGGAACGAAAGCAUGGGUAGCGAAGAGGAUUAGAUACCCUCGUAGUCCAUGCCGUAAACGAUGUGCGUUAGACGUUGGAAAUUUA